rnacentral:lncRNA from 1 species
CUUUGGCUCCUCUGACGAGUUCACAUCCACUUUAGGGUUUGGCUCCAAAGCCACGGGUCUUACUUACUCCAUAUUACCUGAAAAGAGCUACUUAUGCUCUGCAAACUUCCCCAGCCGCUGAGGUCAAUGGCAGCUCAUGUCGCGACCAUUCCAACGUUCUGAGGGAAAGGACAGAGAGAGAGCAACAGUGAAUCUCAGCUGCUCGCAGGCCGCACCAGGAGGGAAGAGGCAGAAUUGCCCCCUUGACACGCGCGUCCCUCCGGUCUACAGGAUCCAGUUUUCUGCCAGCAGCAGCUCAUCGCUGUUCGUGUAAUGAGUUUCAUAUGGUCAGGCUGUUGGAUGCUGAGGAAAACCAAGAAGCUAUGAUAUUAAUCAUCAGCUGUAACCUCGAACAUCUCCCAACGCCAGGCAACAAACCCAAACAGAAUGUCUUGUGAUACUCUAGAAGUAUUGGUCCAAAAUAAACCAAAUAAAUUGUAUUUCUGGAAUGACA